GGUCCUGUGGUCUAGGGGUUAUGACGUCGGAUUUUGAAGACCCCAGCAGCUCAAAAACUACUGGGAUAGACACGAAUUUCCGUAGAUCGUGGGUUCGAUUCCCACCAGGACCU